CCUUAUUAUAUUUAUUUAUUGAGGCAUGGAUUAAACCUGAAAGGAAAUGUUGUGCUGCAAAUUAUUUCUUGAGUCGCCACAGAUAGGAAAACACUCUCUGAUGUCACAGUACAACACUGCCCUCUUCAGGUUACAGAGGGAACUGAUAGGCUAUGUUAUGUAGAAAGUAAUCUAAAAAUGCAGUGAAUACAAAGAUUUAUAGAAAUAUAAUAGGCAGAUAAACAAGUUUGUGGCUGAAUCAAACUACACAAACAUAUUUCAGUUUAUAGAACUGAAAUUUAAAAAAGAGUUGAGGAUUUGUUAUCAAGUUUAUCUGUAGCCUAACAAAUGUUUUUUAAUCUAGUUCAUUCCGGUGUGAUGCUUUAAAUUAAAGUAACGAAUGGGCUAAUGUUUACACUGAACAAACAAACACGCCAUGGUCUGUCUCUAUAUUUCUACAAGGAAUUAAAUAGUCAUGGAUUUGAUCUCGGUUAUGGUUGUCAUUUACAGUACACGACAGUCCUACUGGUUUAUUAAACAAAUAUACCGUUCUGUAGUAUUGUAACGCAUUCAGUAAUGCAUUCAGUUUGAGUUUUUAAUGUUUACUGAAAUAAAGGCACUCAUGGCCAUUGGCUCUCAAUGAAAGUGCUUUCCAUGAGCCUUUCACUGCAGUGGGCUGAAUCAGGGUCACACAGAGUGAAUGUGGGUAGUCUUAAACCAAUCUAAUUUGAAACAGACGUUUACACCUCACACAAAUGGUUAUGGGGUUUAAUAAAAAAGAAGACACGAGUACCAUGUCAGAUAUAGAGUUGUACUCUAUUACAUGUAGAGUUUGCAUCCUGAUAUUACACUUUACACGCAUCACAGAAGACUGACAUAAAGCGAAACUGUUUUGACAGUCAAACACCGUAUUUUCGUCGUUGCAUUAAAAAAAAAACUUUAUUGUGACAUUAUGAAAAAUACGAAUAACACCCCACUCAUGAGACCAAAGAGGGUGCUUUCGAUCAUUGAAUGCAGGAAAGGGCUACAUUGUCAAUAACAUUUGAAAAAAACAACUCUGUCAAACACUGGGGAGAAAUUGACUCAGAUAUCUUUUUACUCAUUAUUUCAUCAAGUUAAUUAAAUUGAAUGCUUGCCAACACCAUUACUUUAAGAAGGACAGUUAAUUCAAAUGUUCUCUAUUGAAAUGAUUAUAAAAUAUAUGAGAGCAGAAGUUUAAAAAGCAUGAAUUUCUUCAGAAUCUGUCAGUCUCUCUCUCUCCACCUCUCUCUCAUGUGUGUGUGUGUGUGUGUAUGUGUGUGCCUAUGUGCCUGUGUGAGCGCAAACAAGUCUUUAAAACCUGAUAAAAAAAGAAAAGAUCAGAUAGCUCUUUCCAAACAGGGGUUUUCAGCAAGGCAAUAGCCCCUGGUGGUAACUGGAAUUCAAAGCAGAGCAGGUUAAAAGGCACUGAGGGCACAUCAUGUCUGAUGGAUGGCUGUUAGAAUUGACUGGCUUUCCUGUUGCUUGGAUCAGUAGACGACUUGUUGCUCUGUUGCUCAGACUUGUUGCUC
ensembl:lncRNA